ensembl:lncRNA
CCCGUGUGGCCCGGCUGGCGGCGCGGUUUCAGGCGGAGGUCGAUCGUUUGGAGAUUAACGGCCUCGUCUGCGUUUAUAAUCUCUCCGGCUCGUUUCCGCCGCCGUUAAUCUGCAGCGGGAAACUCAAACCCGGAGAAGCCUCGGAGCUGAAGUCGGCUUCUUCUCCUAACUGUCCCGUUCCACCUUAAGUAGCGCAGCGGUUACAGGCUGGCCGUUUAUGGUGGACCGGGACAAAAGGAAGAAGAAGCCGGGAUGAGGAGCGGCUGCCGCCUCGUCCAGAAGCCGCCCGUUCAGCGACAUUUUACCAGCAGCGGUUUGUUUGUGGAAGAUUUUCCCGCCGGAGUUUGGAGAAAAGCGGCUGCAGCUGAGCGGAAGCUGAAAGCAGAGCAGAGGAAGUGCUGUGGUUCCGUUCACACGGCGUGGUCUGUUCUAGGACACGGGCUAUCUAGAACACGUGAAGACGCGUUUUCAGACUCGUUCAUUUAAUCCCGAACUUGAUCAGGUUAAAGGUCGCGUGGUCCUACAGCUACAAGCGUUGCCAUGGUGACCCGUUCGGGUCGGGACUGUGACGUCAUAAUGGGGGGGUGAGCGCGCGGUGUCUGGUGGUCACGAUGGAGGCGGAGCACAAAGAGAAAAAGAGCGGAAAGCGAAAGGAGAGACAAGCCAAGGGCUCCUGUGGUCCCACCAAGAAGAGGGAGCUCAAAGAGGACAGUGGCUUCGUCAAUCUGGCACCUGUCAGGCAGAAGCAAGAAAAGACCUGUCAGGCUCUGUAUGUGGACAUGCGUGCUCGCUCUUACUGCGUCCUACCGCCAAUUAAAGCUAGCUGUCCACCACCAGUUCAGGCCAUAAAAGGUAAGAUCUUGAACUGAGAGGUUUUA